rnacentral:rRNA from 1 species
GACGAACGCUGGCGGCGUGCCUGACACAUGCAAGUCGGACGGUUCUUGCACCUUCAAGCUUGCUUGCUGGUGCAGGGAUAGUGGCGGACGGGUGAGUAACGCGUGAACAUCUACCCAUUGGAGGGGGACAACCCGUCGAAAGGCGGGCUAAUACCGCGUAAGCCGUGAGGUGAGAGGCUGCCUAUUGGUGCCGCCGAUGGAUGGGUUCGCGUCCUAUCAGCUGGUUGGUGGGGUAACGGACCUACCAAGGCGAAGACGGGUAGCCGGUCUGAGAGGAUGGCCGGCCACACUGGAACUGAGACACGGUCCAGACUCCUACGGGAGGCAGCAGUGGGGAAUAUUGGGCAAUGGGGGUAACCCGUGACCCAGCGACGCCGCGUGAGGGACGAAGGUUUUCGGAUCGUAAACCUCUGUUGUACGGGAAGAAGAAUUGACGGUACCGUACGAGAAAGCCCCGGCAAACUACGUG